UUAUUAUUAUUUGCAUAUUAAAGAUAUUCAUGUGAGCUAUUCAUAAUAAAUGUUCUCUAAUUCAGUUUCAGGUUCUGCUGCUAAUAUCUCUGCUAGCAUCAAUUCAAUUCCAAUGUUAAAUGGCACAAACUUCAGGGCAUGGCAAGAGAACGUUAUGAUUGUUCUCAGAGUCAUGGACCUAGACCUUGCUUUACGGGUCGAUCN
rnacentral:lncRNA from 1 species